CGCGCCCGGCCGAGGUCUCACCCACCUCGUCGCCCCACUUGAGCACGUCCUUGUGGCGGUCGCGCAGGGCGCGGUAGAUGUGGAGGAACUGGAGGAUGCCGUGCCGCCGCACGUGCUCCGCGUGCCGCCGCGUCUCCUCCCAGCUCAGCGGCGAGCCCUGCGACAGCAGCCCCAUGCCGGCCGGGAGCGGGGGAGGCCCGGGAGGCGAGCGGAGCCGUAGCGAGCGGAGCGGGUGCGCUCCGAGCCGCGGGUGCGCUCUGCACUCUGAGCCGCUGCGGCGGCCGCCCCGAUCCCAGCGCCGCACGUGACGGCGGCCGCGCGUCAGGCCGUGACUCAGCACUUUCCGUCGGCAGGCACCGCCCCCGCGGGCUGAGCACGGCCCGGCGGCCCCGAGGUGUCCUCAGCGCGGGGCUGCCGGGGGAAGAACGGAGGGAGAGCCCUCGGGAAAGCGAAUGCGGGGAACGGCUGCGCCGGCAGCGCCCGCGAGCGCCGCUGCCCCGCUCUCUCCGCGCACGCCCCGGGCACGGGGGAGGAGGCGUCGCUCGCGUGCGCAAGGCGACAUGGCGGCGGGAGGGUGUCCGCGGCCCGGCCGGGGCAGGGCAGGGCGGCGCAGGGCAGGGCAGGGCUGGUGUUCCGAGUGGAAAGAGACCCUUGUGUGACUGAAAGCGCCUAAAUAAAGCUCCUGAGUGAAAGCACGGACGGUGUGUGAGCGCUGCUGUGUAUUUAUUAUAGAUCAGAGCACACAUCGCAAAGAAAAUUAUGAUUGGAGUGGAUGGAGUGAGACCCAGAGAGGUGACGCCUCAUCUCCCGGAGACGACCUCCUCUGCAUCUCUUGGAUUGCCGAACCCACAUCUCGUGGUGCCAAGCACAGGCCCGUCUCGUGAAGUUGCUGAAAAUGUGUGUUACCUGGCAAUUGUCCUGGACCGAAUCAGAACAGCAUUGUCUCAGGAAAGUGGAUGUGGGAGCAUGUCAAGGCGUUGACACAAAAUAGAGGGAAGGCCUAUCAGUGCUAUGUCUUUACAAAAUGAAGAGACAAAAGGCACUGAACAUUAAUGUGAAGGGAAAGGCUCUCGCUGCUGAGCAGCAGAAAUUCAUUACUCCUGGACUCUGUUGUAUACACAGAGCUCUUCAUAGGCCUUAGGGGCAAGCACGGCUAGUAUGCAGUAGGAUAAGCUAAGGCUUUGCGAAUUUGUAAGGCAACCGUGGAACAGGGAAGGACUAAGGCAUUCUAAGGCUGACAGCAUCAUAUGCAGAAGCGUUCAUUUGCACAUCACCCAAAAUAUGACUUCGAGACAAACCAUCAUUGUAUAAUAUCUGCCUACAUGCAUAAUGUUGUAUAAUUAUUUCCAGUACAAACAGAAACUUAAUGGAGAAGCCUUGCCUUGGAUGAAAAAGAACACAGAUUUUCUGCAUCAAAUUGUAAAAAGCAAAUACUAUUCAUUUUUUACAGAGAUAGAAAAAUUGUUUCCAGGUCUAUAAUUUGUGAUGUGCACUUGUGCCCAGUACAAUUGACUCAGAUGAGCAGCAGAUGCAAGAACUGCUUCGUUUUGAGUGAGGAGGUCUCCAGGCAUUUCCUGAGGCACUGGAGAGAUCUUAAUGCAGAAAGUCUUGCUGACUAGCAGCUUGGAUUAAAUAAUCUGUUUGAAGGGGAGAAGGAAGUCAGGACACUGAAAAGAUUCAAGUGAAAGAUCUUCUGAUGUAUCUUCAUGUUCAAGCCUUCCUGCUUUGCAGUGAGGAAUUUGACUAACAGAGACUUAUUCCAGUCUAAGUUAUAAUGUUGAGUCCUCUCUAAGCUAACUUCUCAAUUAGUGUGUGAAAGACACUGUUGUGGCUUGUCAGUAUUGCUUUAAAAUUUCGUUUUCUUGCUGUCACCUGAUGUGGAAAUGACUGUAGUAGAAUUAAGUAAUGUCAUGAGUCUGAGUGGUGUAUUUCUAGGAUUUUUUUUUUUUUUAAUUUCUCAUUGAUAGAUGGUUUUGAGGGUCAGAGUUUUUUACUUACUUCAGUAGGGAUGAAUUGAGCAUUUCAGUCUAUAAAGUUUCACGUGUUUAUGUAAAAAGUGAAUAUCAUCACAUUUUUUCACCA